CUCGUGUGUCAUGGCCCACCCUACGACAGCCUGUGAGAAUUCUCAAGGCUGGUUUGAAAGUAACAGCUUACUUUAAUAAUGGCUGCACUGUGUCAGGACUACAAGUUGAUCCAGCACGCAGUAUUGUGUCACACCUAGGACUAAGGAUAACGUAUAACCGGACCUUAGAAAGGCUGGACUUAACGUCUCCAAGAAUAGUCAAAAUACUUGCCGAGGUCAGGGACACAGAAUCAGACACAAAGAUGAGGGAAAGCCAAACUCAAGUAUACCAGAUAUCAGGGAAGUCAAAACAAAGCCGAGUCAAAUACCAAAAAAUCAAGAUCAGGAACGCACUCUCGGAUAACCAUAGGCAUGAAACUACGACAGGGCAAUGAGCAAGAGGAGAGUUGGGUUUAAAUACCCUUCCUGUGGAUCCGAUUGGCUGUAACUGGCCUUUGACCCCAAAGGCAAUUACCAGGUGUGCAUGAUCGCUGCUCAGCACAAACCCUCCUGUGGAUGUGACUGGGCUUUGACCCCAAAAGUAAUUACCAGGUUUCCAUGUGCAUGAUUGCUGCUUGGAACAACUUUUCCUGUCAGGAUGGUAGUGUUGCUCGGCACAACUUUUCCUGUCAGGACAGUAAAUGCUAUUAACCAAAUUUUUAUGUGC